GAUGAACGCUGGCGGCGUGCCUAAUACAUGCAAGUCGAGCGAACGGACGAGAAGCUUGCUUCUCUGAUGUUAGCGGCGGACGGGUGAGUAACACGGGGAUAACAUACCUAUAAGACUGGGAUAACUUCGGGAAACCGGAGCUAAUACCGGAUGAUAUUUUGAACCGCAUGGUUCAAAAGUGAAAGACGGUCUUGCUGUCACUUAUAGAUGGAUCCGCGCUGCAUUAGCUAGUUGGUAAGGUAACGGCUUACCAAGGCAACGAUGCAUAGCCGACCUGAGAGGGUGAUCGGCCACACUGGAACUGAGACACGGUCCAGACUCCUACGGGAGGAAGCAGUAGGGAAUCUUACGCAAUGGGCGAAAGCCUGACGGAGCACCGCCGCGUGAGUGAUGAAGGUCUUCGGAUCGUAAAACUCUGUUAUUAGGGAAGAACAUAUGUGUAAGUACCUGUGAACAUCUUGACGGUACCUAAUCAGAAAGCCACGGCUAACUACGUG
rnacentral:rRNA from 1 species